AAAGAAAACUAACAAGGAUUCCCCUAGUAACUGCGAGUGAAGCGGGAAAAGCUCAAAUUUAAAAUCUGGUGGUCUUUGGCCAUCCGAGUUGUAAUCUAGAGAAGUGUUACCCGCGUCGGACCGUGUAUAAGUCUCCUGGAAUGGAGCGUCAUAGAGGGUGAGAAUCCCGUCUUUGACACGGACUACCGAGGCUUUGUGGUGCGCUCUCAACGAGUCGAGUUGUUUGGGAAUGCAGCUCAAAAUGGGUGGUAAAUUCCAUCUAAAGCUAAAUAUUGGCGAGAGACCGAUAGCGAACAAGUACCGUGAGGGAAAGAUGAAAAGAACUUUGGAAAGAGAGUUAAACAGUACGUGAAAUUGCUGAAAGGGAAACGCUUGAAGUCAGUCGCGUUGGCCGGAAAUCAGCCUUGCUUUUGCUGGGUGUACUUUCUGGUUGACGGGCCAGCAUCAGUUUUGACCGGUGGAAAAAGUCUGAGGGAAUGUGGCAUCUUCGGAUGUGUUAUAGCCCUUUUUCGUAUACAUCGGUUGGGACUGAGGAACUCAGCACGCCGAAAGGCCGGGUCUUUGACCACGUUCGUGCUUAGGAUGCUGGCAUAAUGGCUUUAAUCGACCCGUCUUGAAACACGGACCAAGGAGUCUAACAUGCCUGCGAGUGUUUGGGUGGAAAACCCGGACGCGUAAUGAAAGUGAAAGUUGAGAUCCCUGUCAUGGGGAGCAUCGACGCCCGGACCAGAAGUUUUCUGACGGCCCUGCGGUAGAGCAUGUAUGUUGGGACCCGAAAGAUGGUGAACUAUGCCUGAAUAGGGUGAAGCCAGAGGAAACUCUGGUGGAGGCUCGUAGCGAUUCUGACGUGCAAAUCGAUCGUCAAAUUUGGGUAUAGGGGCGAAAGACUAAUCGAACCAUCU
rnacentral:rRNA from 1 species